rnacentral:misc_RNA from 1 species
AAUUAAUCUAAAUGGGGUCGCCUUCCCCGAUUGGUUUCUCUCUUGAAAAUUUCUCUCCGAGUGGCCCUUAAUUUCUGAGGCUCUGUCUUCGUCUUCUGCCAUUUAGUGGCUCCCUCUGCCCCUCCGGGCAAGGGGGGUCUCCAUCCCCUUGUCCUGGAUGUGGGUCGCCUUCCCUACCUUCGGGCAGGGUGAUUAUGCAUAAAUAAGUUUGUUUUGAAUUACUUUUAUAGCAGAUUUGUGGUUGUGGAAAGAAGGUUUUCUCGAUCUGCUUAUAGAGCUUUGUCUCUGAUUGUUCUUUGCCUGAGUUUUUGCAGUGCAUGGGCUACCAAAGGGUCUCUUUUGGCUUGUCUGGGUCUUCUAGCUGCAUGCGGGGGAUGGUAUUGGCAAUGACUUUGAUCUGACGGCUUACAUCUCUCAGUUGCCUUGAGGCAUGGAUGGGUUCACUUUUAGCUACGGGGUACCUCUUGGGGAAGGUACCGGUGCCAUCCUUUUGGUACCCAAUCCCUCAAUACCCAACAGAGCUAAAGAGCUCUGCCUCGCGCCCAUCUGGUUCCCUCUCCUUUGUAUUUUCUACUUCUUGCCAUGGUGUUGGUCUCAUGGUUCUUUCAUCAUUUGUUUAAAGGCUUUGAUAGGCUUGCUUCCCUCAAUGGGUACUUUUCAGGUUCUACAGUGGUAGGUGUUGAUUGCUGAUUAGAAACCAGGUGCUUCAUGACUUCUUAGUUUCCCUGGAGUAGCUCGGUUAAGCUUGGUGGGUAACGAAAACAGCUUAGAUUGCUUCUUCAGAAUUCAGAUCCUUGCUUUUUUCGGGUCAAUUUUAGCAUGCUUAGGGUUUUUCUAGGUCUCUAGCCUUGAUCGGUUCUAGCAUGGUCUGCAACCUAUUAUGGUCUUUGUUCUUUGACACAAGUCUUGGUUAUGCCAGCUUGGUCUUGUAUGUGUUGAAUCUCAUAUGAAUCUUUUAUUUGUACUGGCCAAGGCCUUUUUAUGUAAUGAACUUUAUAUCUUUGGUUAAAA